rnacentral:rRNA from 1 species
AUACGUAGGUGGCAAGCGUUGUCCGGAAUGAUUGGGCGUAAAGGGCGCGUAGGCGGCCCGGUAAGUCUGGAGUGAAAGUCCUGUUUUUAAGAUGGGAAUUGCUUUGGAUACUGUCGGGCUAGAGUGCUGAAGAGGUAAGCGGAAUUCCCAGUGUAGCGGUGAAAUGCGUAGAGAUUGGGAAGAACACCAGUGGCGAAGGCGGCUUACUGGGCUGUAACUGACGCUGAGGCGCGAAAGCGUGGGGAGCGAACAGGAUUAGAUACCCUGGUAGUCCACGCUGUAAACGAUGAAUGCUAGGUGUAGGGGGUAUCGACCCCUCCUGUGCCGGAGUAAACGCAAUAAGCAUUCCGCCUGGGGAGUACGGCCGCAAGGUUGAAACUCAAAUGAAUUGGCGGGG